GCAAUAUCUGAAUUAACAAUCAACCACACCAAAGAACAAGGAGCUUGUUAUAUACCAUCUCAUAGAAUCUCUAAAAGGAACUUAUUACUACAUAACCGCUUAAUGACAUUACAAUACCCUUAUCUAACAUCAUACUUUUACAAUGGCUACUGCAUAUACUUUGAAGGUCAGCAAUAAGAGCUCUUACAUUACACAUAUAACCUAUGGCUCUUUUAAAGCAAUAUCUGAAUUAACAAUCAAAUAGCUAUCUAUUAAAACAUUAAAACUACAGUCAUCCAACGGACUAAGCACUUUACAAAGGUCAGAAAGGGGUUAGAAGAAGCCGGCGUCGAAUUACCCUUUUUGAUGUGCCACCUCAAGGCUUAAACUUACAUGGCCCCAUUGCCACUUAUCCCAUUGUCAAUCACCUCUCCUUGCACCUUCUCAUUCAUCUCAUCAAUACCUAUACAAUCUCAUUAUUGUCAUUUGCUGCUUAUUUAUCCUUGAUCGCUCCUUCAGGCUCAGGAAUGCUUCUGCUAGGUUUCUUUUUGUUCUCUCCUUCAGCUUCACACUUAUCCUUACUGAUGACCGUAUCAGCUUUAUCUUGUUCCCCAGACCCAUAUUCUUUGCAAGCCUCAACCAGUGGUUGCAUAUCCUUCUCUUGAACUUUUUCAUCCUCUAUAUUUUCCUUCUUAUUUUCAGAUAUUCCUGAACCAUCAGAUGUCCCUUUGGAGAGCCAAUGCUCUACUUCACCCUUCCCCUCUUCGGUUUUAUCAGAUUUAUCAACAUUCUGUUCAACUUUAGCUUCUUCAGUAGAAGUUGCUUCUGUUUUAGCAUCACUUUCUUGGGGUUUGUCUUUAUUAUCUUCCUGAUUUCCUUUCACAUCCUCCUUUGCAGCUUUCACAUCUGUUUCAUCCUUUCCACUUUUCCCAGCUUCCUGCAUUUGAAUUUGUUUUGUCUCUUCAGCUCCUGUUGAAGUUUCUGUUUCUUUGGCCUCCUUUUUAGAAGCUGAUGACUUCCUGCUUCGUUUCUUUGGGGGUUCAAUUUCAGGAGUUGGAGCUGCCUUUGCCUUCUCACUAAUCCUUGCUGAUCGUCUAGGGGUUUCGCCAGUGCCCCAGUCAAACUCAGAUGCAGCUGGACCGCCAGGGUGUGCUUUGAGAUAUUGUUCCAACUGUCUUCUGCCUGUGAUUUCCUCCCCAGUUGGGGCAGUGAAUAUGAUUUCAUUUUUCUUAGGGGUCCCACUCUUCUUGGGCAAAAACUGCACAUUAACAUAAAUCAUCAAGUUGUGGACUCCAUUGACCAGAAAAGAAAGUAAAAAAUGGCACAGAAAACGUGCAAUUUUAAGGAACUUUCAAAUCUGGAAAUUUCUAAUCAUGAAAUAGCCAAAUACAGCCAACUAUACAGAGCCUUCAUAGAAAAAUCAAAGUACAAGAAAUUCCAUUCUAUAAUUAUAAUAUCAUAACCACUAAUAGGGAUCAAAUCUUGUUAUUAAACAAACUUUUUAAGUCAUUAUAGGCUCAAAAACAAUCUGAUUCAGCUACUUGCCUGACUUUUGAUCAGAAAGUCAAUGUGUUAACUUGGAAGAAAAAAAAAUCCUAACUUUAUUCAACAUUCAUUCAUCAGACAACAGAAAACCACAGCGUCCAAGAUAUUUAAUACAAAUCAUCCAGUCAGGCAAAGUAAUCAACUUUUGCAUAAUUCACUAAAUAUGGGAAAGGAUAAAAUGAGUGUGGCUAAUUGCAAGACUAGCCUACAAUUUGAUCUGCUAGAAUACAAGGUUUGAAUGCCAAGAAUUAGCAGAUAUAAAACCAGCAGUUUUAUGAAGGGAGUCCUUUAAGAUGAUUAAGAAAGUCCCUUUACUACUCUUCUUGCUUCUUGUAAUGCCAAUGAAUGACAAGAUGGAAUAAGUCCUAUAAAAUGCUUGAUAAUGUGAUGCCUGCCAUGACACAAGGUGAUGUACCUCAUGUGGAAGUCAAUAAAAGGAAAGGGACUAAAGAAAAACCAUCUCUUGCCCAGUGAAAGUGAAGAUGAGAUUCAAGAAUUCCACAUAUGGAUACAGCCUUCUUUUUCCAUCCAGGAGGAGCAGGAAGGUCCAAAGAGAAAUCCUCCUCUUUUGUAGAAGUAUCCUUCUCCGCUGAACUAGCCAUUUCACCAGAAAAUAAAUAAAUAAAAAUUAAAUACUUGCACAUGCGAGCAGAGCACAGCAGGAAUUUUAUCCGCCCUAUUAACCAGCUGACACCCGUCGUUUGAUUUUAUUCCUAUAUUAAGAUUUUGGUCCACUUUCCUUUCAUCCGAUGACCAACUGUUUUUGAGUUGGGUAUUUCGAUGCAUCACAGUGCCACGUGAGAACGACACCUGUUGCCU
rnacentral:misc_RNA from 1 species